AUGACUUCUGUUGCAUACUUUUUGGGUUUUCAGAUUAAAAAAAAAAAACAAAUAACACAGAUUAUCAACCAACCAAUAAAUAAAUACAAAAUCACAACACUAAAUAACUCCCAGACCACUACAGUCCAAAAAAGUGCUUCAUAUUUUAGGCCUCGAAAGAGCCGGACGUCUGCUUUGACAACAACGCAGAUGUUGCUCAUCAUGCCUGUCACUACUAGGAUGAGCCUUUGUGUCCAAUCAGUGGCUCUUCUUCAUUGACCUAUAACCCAUCCAUCAUUUUGCUGCUGUUUCUGCUUUGUGUUUGAUGGAGGACGCAUCUGACUGUGGUGGUGGCUACAGUUUGAGUCCGUCUCUCUGGCCGAUGUUGGCUCUUCAGCUCCUUCUACUCUGGCUGCUUACUGGAACCAGAACCUGUUUGUCCUGACCAGAGCACAUCUACAGACUAGACUGACUGAACUGCUUAUUAUACAGACCAUAACAUUACCACACUUCAACUAUAUGACCUAAGAUUGUUAGUCAACCCAAAAUAAUAUGACUAAUGCAGAUUCAAACUCUACUGUUUUGGUAAAUUGACAUGACUCACCAACUCACUGCCAAACACUGCCCUCUCAGACCAACCAGAAAAAGCAACACAGUCAGACACGAGAGACAUAUAUACACUUAUCUUUUUAACACAGAACCACGUUAUGACCACAGAAAUGGUUCAUGCAAAAUGUUUAGUGCCACAAACAGGCAAAUAUAAUGUGUUAACAGUGUGGUCAGAGACGGCUUGCAGCGCCAGUCUGGAUCUGAAGCAGGGUUUAAUGGGACAGGAAAGGCUGUUCAGCUCUGGAGCUCAUAAUGAAUUCUGCUGGAAGUGAGCUUUGCAGCAGUAGUAGGUCUGUGAUGUCACACCCAAGCCCUUUAGGCCCAUCAAGGGCUGUUUUACUUGUUUUAUGUUCUUUGAUUUCUCUGGUAUGUGCAGUAGGGGAAAUCUCAUGAAGAAAUCUGUAAGUCAUAUUUCACCUCAACAUUAAAAGAUAUGAAUAUAUAUACAGCACCACUGAAAAGUUUGGGGUCGGUAAGAAUUUUGUAAUGCAUUUAAAAGAGGUCUUUUAUGUUCACCAAGACUGCAUUUAUUAUUAAGAAUAUAGCAAAAUAUUAUUACAAUUAAAAAUGUAAUGUAAUGUUUUUAAAUGUAAUUUAAUUUCAAUGUCAAAAUGUUAAAAUCAUUUAUUGACAUUGAAAAAGUGUUUACUGUUAUGUUUGAUUAAUGCAUCCUUGCUGAAUAAUAUUUAAGUAAUAUUUUAUUGCAUAAUAUUACAUUA
ensembl:lncRNA